CGGCGACCACCGAGAUCUACACUCUUUCCCUACACGACGCUCUUCCGAUCUAGGUAUGCUGGAGGUAUCAGAAGUGAGAAUGCUGACAUGAGUAGCGAAAAGAAGAGUGAGAGACUCUUCCGCUGAAAGUCCAAGGUUUCCUGCGUAAAGCUAAUCUGCGCAGGGUUAGUCGGUCCCUAAGGCGAGGCAGAGAUGCGUAGUCGAUGGCAAUCAGGUUAAUAUUCCUGAACCGGCCCGGAAGUGACGGAUUGAGUAAAUUGUAAGUUCUUAUUGGAUUGAGCUUGCAGUGAAUCAGUCCCAGGAAAUAGCCCGGGCUAAGACCGUACCCGAAACCGACACAGGUGGACAGGUAGAGAAUACCAAAGCGCUUGAGAGAACUAUGUUGAAGGAACUAGGCAAAAUACUUGCGUAACUUCGGGAUAAGCAAGCCCCAUUUUAAGGCAACUUAGGGUGGGGGGCACAUACUAGGGGGUAGCGACUGUUUACUAAAAACACAGGGCUCUGCUAAAUUGAAAGAUGAAGUAUAGGGUCUGACGCCUGCCCGGUGCUGGAAGGUUAAGGAGAGAUGUGCAAGCAUUGAACUGAAGCCCCAGUAAACGGCGGCCGUAACUAUAACGGUCCUAAGGUAGCGAAAUUCCUUGUCGGGUAAGUUCCGACCUGCACGAAUGGCGUAACGACUUCCCCGCUGUCUCCAACAUAGGCUCAGCGAAAUUGAACUCUGAGUUAAGAUGCUCAGUACCCGCGGUUAGACGGAAAGACCCCGUGAACCUUUACUAUAGCUUUGCAGUGGUAUUAGGUGACAAAUGUGUAGGAUAGGUGGGAUGCUAUGAAGGUAAGACGCUAGUUUUACUGGAGCAGACGUUGAAAUACCACCCUUUUGUUAUUUGAUAUCUAACCUGGCUCCCUGAACGGGAGUAGGGACCCUGCAUGGUGGGUAGUUUGACUGGGGCGGUCGCCUCCCAAAGAGUAACGGAGGCGCGCAAAGGUUGGCUCAGAUUGGUCAGAAAUCAAUCGUCGAGUGCAAUGGCAUAAGCCAGCCUGACUGCGAGAGAGACAUUUCGAGCAGAUACGAAAGUAGGUCAUAGUGAUCCGGUGGUCCCGAGUGGAAGGGCCAUCGCUCAACGGAUAAAAGGUACUCCGGGGAUAACAGGCUGAUUCCGCCCAAGAGUUCACAUCGACGGCGGAGUUUGGCACCUCGAUGUCGGCUC
rnacentral:rRNA from 1 species